UUAUGGCUACGUAGCGGUUCAAAUUUGAUAAAUUGGAAUGGGCUGGACUGAAAGGCUGAGCUAAUAAAUGGAUUCUCAAAGUUGGGCAUGUUGAACAGAUUAUGAGCUAAUUUUGCCACCCGUGGUGAUUUGAUAAUUGAUCAGAUAAUUGUGCCAUGUGAUGCGCAUAUAUAAUUGGGUUGAAGGGACACGAUGUCGAGCAGCUAUGGAGAUGGAUAUGCAACAAGAUCAGAUGAGGAAGGUUUUGGAGGCAUCUAUGGCGGAAACAAAGAGGACGAGUAAAAUAUUAAACAUGGCAAAGCCCCUGAGUAUGAUACUAAACAAGGAAGUGAAGUCGGCGAGAAGGAGAAGGCUCGUAACCAGCAUCAAGUAGCAUGAAGUGAAAAUUGUCCUGCCUUGUGUUAAAUAUUUACUUUUUCUUGGUGACUUGAUAGAUGUGUACUAAUAAGGUUUAGUAUGUAACUAGUGGACACGUUCGCACUGUGAUAAAAAACAUAUUUAGAAUUA